AGAGUUUGAUCCUGGCUCAGGAUGAACGCUGGCGGCGUGCCUAACACAUGCAAGUCGAACGGGAACAGAAUGAAACCUAGUGAUUUUGUUUAGUGGCGGACGGGUGAGUAACGCGUGGGUAACCUGCCGUAUACAGGGGGAUAACACUUAGAAAUAGGUGCUAAUACCGCAUAAGCGCACAGCUUCGCAUGGAGCAGUGUGAAAAGCGUAAACGGUAUACGAUGGACCCGCGUCUGAUUAGCUAGUUGGCGGGGUAGAGGCCCACCAAGGCGACGAUCAGUAGCCGGCCUGAGAGGGUGACCGGCCACAUUGGGACUGAGACACGGCCCAAACUCCUACGGGAGGCAGCAGUGGGGAAUAUUGCACAAUGGGGGGGAACCCUGAUGCAGCGACGCCGCGUGAGUGAAGAAGUAUUUCGGUAUGUAAAGCUCUAUCAGCAGGGAAGAAAAUGACGGUACCUGACUAAGAAGCCCCGGCUAACUACGUG
rnacentral:rRNA from 1 species